GUUUGCGUGUCCGAGUGGUCGAAGGUGCCAUCCUGCUAAGAUGGCGUUCGGUAACGCACCGAAGGUUCGAAUCCUUCCGCAAACGC
rnacentral:tRNA from 1 species